UGAGCAAUCUGCCCUUCUCUUCGGAAUAAGCGUUGGAAACGACGUCUAAUGCCGAAUACGACCUCCUUUCGCAUGAUCGGAGGUGGAAAGCUCCGGCGGAGAAGGAUGAGCUCGCGGCCUAUCAGCUAGUUGGUGUGGGUAAUGGCCCACCAAGGCGACGACGGGUAGCCGGCCUGAGAGGAUGAUCAGCCACACCGGGACUGAGACACGGCCCAGACUCCGUAGGGAGG
rnacentral:rRNA from 1 species